rnacentral:rRNA from 1 species
ACCCGCGAACUCGUUCCCACGACCCGCGGCCCCCGGCCGCCCCGGCGCCGUCGCCCCGCCCGGGAGGGCGCGUCGGCGGCCCGGACAACGAACCCCGGCGCAGCGCGCGCCAAGGAUGACCCCAACGUGAUGGCACGCCCCCGGCGCCCGACGCGGGGCGGCGGCCUCUUUCGCGAAUAAUCUGAACGACUCUCGGCAACGGAUAUCUCGGCUCUCGCAUCGAUGAAGAACGUAGCGAAAUGCGAUACUUGGUGUGAAUUGCAGAAUCCCGUGAACCAUCGAGUCUUUGAACGCAAGUUGCGCCCGAAGCCGUCAGGCCGAGGGCACGUCUGCCUGGGCGUCUCGCAACGCGUCGCCCCCCGGCCCCCGCACGCGGGCGCCGGGGGGCGGACACUGGCCCCCCGCGAGCCGCGUCUCGCGGUCGGCUUAAAAUCGGGUCGCCGGCGACGGACGGCACGACGAGUGGUGGAGUCUCGACGCGUCGCGCCGCGCCCGUCGCCGCGGGCGGCCCCGAACGACCCCGGAGCACCGGCCGCGACCCCAGGUCAGGCGGGAUCACCCGCUGAAUUUAAGCAU